rfam:Triticum aestivum genome assembly, contig: Triticum_aestivum_CS42_TGACv1_scaffold_570191_7AS
UACAUACUCCCUCCGUCCAAAAAUACUUGUCGAAGAAAUGCUUAAAAUUGAAUGUAUCUAGAACUAAAAUACAUCUAGAUACAUUCAUUCAUCCGACGAGUAUUUCCGGACGGAGGGAGUACACG